AUGUGCGCCCCGUACUUUCCGGCUCCUUGGGGCCGUCCGUACCCGCCUGACGACUGCUGGCUAAGCUUUUUAGCU
rnacentral:sRNA from 1 species